UGCUUAGUUUUGAAGAAUAAGUUUCAUCGGGAAACGGCGGUGUUAAGAGAAUACGUAGAAUUGUUUCCUUUGUCGGAUCUGUGCUUAGGUCCUUGAUUUCAGUGUGAAAAAAUAUAUAUUUUUGUUGGGUUUAGUUAAGUUUCCAUUUCAUUUUGUGGAGUUCUUCUAGAAUUGUGCAAUAUGGGUUCUUCUCUGCAAUCCAUUGAAGAGGUCGCUGCAGAGAUCAUGAGAAUUCAUAAAUCUUUGCCCAGUAGGCCCGGUGUAGAUGAGGUUGAAGCGGCGAAGGACUUGAUCUUGAAUGUUGAGAAGGAAGAGCAGUCGAGAAUAGAUUCAAUUUCUAAGCAGAGAAAGGGCCCAAAUAUCCCAGAUGAGCUGUUCUUUGUGAUGCAAGAGAUGCAGAAGAAUUUUGUGUAUUUCCAAAGUAAAGACCAGAAGAGAGAAGCCGUGAAAUUGCUUGAUCUCGAAAACGUCCAUGCACUAUUCGAUGAAUUAAUCCAAAGAGCAUCGAAAUGCAUUCCUUCUGCCUCCAAUUCUAUUCAGGCAGACUACUCCAACGGCUCAAUUUCUACAAAAAUUUCGAGCAGUUUCUCUACAAACAGUACUUCUGCCUCCGUUUCUGGUGUUGAAUCUUCAGUGAGUUCGCUUGGGUUCUACGCUGAGAAAGAAACUCUAAGGAUUUCUGAGCGGUUAACUAGAGAUGACAGUUAUCUUAAGACGGCAAAAGCAUCCUUUUAUAUGGAUGGAAUUGGAACUGCUCCAUCUAAGCCCCAUGUCUCAGAUUCUUCUCUCAAACCUGCAUCUACUUCUGGUCAAGAUGGUGAGAAGUUGAGUCUCAUAAAACUAGCCAGUUUGAUUGAAGUCUCCUCGAAGAAAAGUUCAAAGGAUCUCAACCUCCGGAACAAGUUGAUGGAUCAGAUAGAAUGGUUACCUGAUUCGAUAGGGAAGCUGACAGGUUUAAUCACUCUUGAUUUGUCUGAGAAUCGUAUUGUAGCUUUACCAACCACAAUUGGAAGGCUUUCUUCAUUGGCGAAACUAGACCUGCACUCAAACAAGAUUACCGAAUUACCUGAAUCCAUUGGGGAUCUCUUUAGCCUGGUCUAUUUAAACUUGGGAGGGAAUGAUUUAACAUCUCUGCCUGUUACAAUUGGCAGAUUAUCCUGUCUUGAGGAGCUAGAUCUGAGCUUGAAUCAACUGUCAUCGCUCCCUCACUCAAUUGGAAACCUUGUCAGCCUGAAGAAGUUGAACAUUGAGACAAAUAAUAUGGAGGAAAUCCCACAUACUAUCGGCCAGUGUACAUCCCUUGUUGAGAUAAGAGCAGACUAUAAUCGGCUGAAAGCCAUUCCAGAAGCUGUAGGGAGGAUUGCAUCACUUGAGGUUCUGUCUGUUAGGUAUAAUAAUAUCAGACAACUACCCACCACGAUGGCAUCUCUAAUCAACUUGAAGGAGCUUGAUGUUAGCUUCAACGAGCUUGAAGCAGUGCCAGAGAGCUUGUGCCUAGUGACUACUCUUGUUAAAAUGAAUGUAGGGAACAAUUUUGCUGAUCUACAGUCACUACCACGAUCCAUUGGGAACCUUGAGAUGCUGGAAGAGUUGGAUAUCAGCAACAAUCAGAUACGGGUCCUUCCAGACUCUUUUGGGAUGCUAUCGCAGUUACGUGUGCUUCGCGCAGAAGAAAAUCCUCUGGAAGUACCACCAAGGCAUAUUGCAGAAAAGGGUGCACAGGCUGUCGUUGAAUACAUGGCUGAACUUGUUGCAAGGAGGGAUAUCAAGGCACUACCAAUCAAGCAAAGAAAGACUUGGACUCAGUUCUGCUUCUUUUCGAGACCUAACAAAAGGAAACAUGAUGGUCUGGACUAUGUGAAGUCCUGACUUUGGAAGCUCAAACAAGGACUGAACAUGACUCAGUCUAUUGGUUAAUUUCCUUUGCUAAUCUUCUGUUUGAGGUGCUCCAGUCUCACCCAGCCUUACCUAUAGUUAGACUUUAGUCCAAGCAAUUUGUAAAAGUGGAUCCUCUGGAAGUUACUGGUACUGUUACAGAAGUUUGAUCAAAACUCGGAUGUUAGUACAAGCAAUCCUCCUGGUCAAGGAACGAAGGGCUAUGCAGAUAUGACUCUGAUCUUGCUUAUUGUAGUGUAGUUCUCUUUAUCUUUUGUUUUAUUUCUAUUGUAUUCUUAUGUUGUUGAACUAGAAUCAGAUGUACCAUUGACUUCAAGUGGCGAAAAGAAAGGGAAAGAAAUGAUGUAUUCCACAACCAUCAAUUGUGAAAUAAAUAUGUGUUUCCUCUGUUUUUUACGGUUGUUCAUC